rnacentral:rRNA from 1 species
UACGGGGGGGGCAAGCGUUGUUCGGAAUUACUGGGCGUAAAGGGCUCGUAGGCGGCCAACUAAGUCAGACGUGAAAUCCCCAGGCUUAACUUGGGAACUGCGUCUGAUACUGGAUGGCUUGAGUUUGGGAGAGGGAUGCGGAAUUCCAGGUGUAGCGGUGAAAUGCGUAGAUAUCUGGAGGAACACCGGUGGCGAAGGCGACAUCCUGGACCAACACUGACGCUGAGGAGCGAAAGCCAGGGGAGCGAACGGG